UGCUUAACACAUGCAAGUCAACGAGAAAAGAGUAGCAAUAUUCUGAUUAAAGCGGCGCACGGGUGCGUAACACGUAAGCAAUCUACCUUUAGGUCUGGAAUAACUCCGAGAAAUCGGGGCUAAUACCUGAUGAUGCAGCGGCACCGCAUGGUGAUGUUGUUAAAGAUCUUGUAUCGCCUAUAGAUGAGCUUGCGUCUGAUUAGCUAGUUGGUGAGAUAACGGCCCACCAAGGCAACGAUCAGUAGCUGGUCUGAGAGGAUGAUCAGCCACACUGGAACUGAGACACGGUCCAGACUCCUACGGGAGGCAGCAGUGAGGAAUAUUGGGCAAUGGCCGAAAGGCUGACCCAGCAACGCCGCGUGGAGGAUGAAUGUCGUAAGAUUGUGUUCUCC
rnacentral:rRNA from 1 species